AGUCGUAACAAGGUAUCCGUAGGUGAACCUGCGGAUGGAUCAUUAACAAAGAUUCAUCUUUAUGUAUUGUGAACCAGUUGAUUAACUGUCAGUGCGAGUGUUGUGAAUGUCGGUGAUUAAUUUCACGGGCAACUCGCCUCAUUAGCACUGACGGUACUAUACUAUACGUAUUGCCAAUAUCUAAACUUAAGUCUUUUUAGUUACAAACUAAAGAAAACUUUUAGCAACGGAUCUCUUGGCUCUC
rnacentral:misc_RNA from 1 species